rnacentral:rRNA from 1 species
AUUGAACGCUGGCGGCAGGCUUAACACAUGCAAGUCGAGCGGAUGAAAGUAGCUUGCUACUGGAUUCAGCGGCGGACGGGUGAGUAAUGCUUAGGAAUCUGCCUAUUAGUGGGGGACAACGUUCCGAAAGGAGCGCUAAUACCGCAUACGUCCUACGGGAGAAAGCAGGUGACCUUUGGGCCUUGCGCUAAUAGAUGAGCCUAAGUCGGAGUAGCUAGUUGGUAGGGUAAGGGCCUACCAAGGCGACGAUCUGUAGCGGGUCUGAGAGGAUGAUCAGCGACACUGGGACUGGGAGACGGUCCAGACUACUACGGGAGUGAGCAGUGGGGAAUAUUUGAGAAUGGGGGGAACCCUGAUCCAUCCAUGCUGCGUGUGUGAAUAAGGCAUUUGGGUUGUAAAGCACUUUAAGCGAGGAGGAGGCUACAUAGAUUAAUACUUUAGGAUAGUGGACGUUACUCGCAGAAGAAGCACCGGCUAACUCGGUGCCAGCCGCCGCAGUAAGAC